UGCUCUGCAGCGGUGUAGGUCAGGGGGGAACUCUGCGAUGCUCUGCAGCAGUGUAGGUCAGGGGGAGCUCUGUGAUGCUCUGCAGCAGUGUAGGUCAGGGGGGAGCUCUGCGAUGCUCUGCAGCAGUGUAGGUUAGGGGGGAGCUCUGCGAUGCUCUGCAGCAGUGUAGGUCAGGGGGAGCUCUGCGAUGCUCUGCAGAAGUGUAGGUCAGGGGGGAGCUCUGUGAUGCUCUGCAGCAGUGUAGGUUAGGGGGGAGCUCUGCGAUGCUCUGCAGCGGUGUAGGUCAGGGGGGAGAUGUGUGAUGCUCUGUAAGGUUCCUGUUAUAAGGUUUGGGAAGGCCCUGCUUUUAGCACUGACGUCUCUAAUGUUCCCUAUUAAGAAGAUGAAA